UAUUAGGUAUGCCACUAACAGAUUCUUCCUAUAAGAGUGGGAACAAAAGCUAGCCAUUGAGUAUUACAAUUUUCCUAAGUUUAGAGCAGAAGAGAGCCGUACCUGUAGUCUCCACUCACAGCCACAGUGAAGCAAAGCAAGGUUCAGUAAUGUGAUGCGGCUAAAGCAAAAGGAAGCUCCCAUCAGUAAAAUACACGUGUGACUAAAGAGGAAGAAAGCUAGGGUUUUUAAGGCCCAUAUAUUUACUUAUGUCAUCUCACCUAGGCUUCAUAUCUCAUAGUAUUUAUCUUAUUUUUAAUAUCUUAGGCCCAAAUCAAUUUAAUCCAUUUAAUUGUAGGCCUUCUUUAUAAUUUACAUAUUAUAAUUAAAUAGGUAUCAAAGUUAUGGGGUGUUACACCAUUACUUCUUUUCAUAUACUUGUUUUCGUAAAUUUCUUUGCCACUUAUUUGUUGAUAGAACUGAUUUUUUACGUUGAUAUACAUAAUAUGUAUAUAUGUGAGGCAGUCUUUGAUUAAUAGUUUCAUUUUUUAUCAAUAGGUCAUACCCAGUGAAAUAGGAUCCUGAUUUUAUGGGAUUUGAGAGAAGUGGUACAAGGGUAGUCUUAGACUCUUAGUGUCUCAGAUUUGAACCCAUAAUAUAAACUAUAAAGGGCACUUGCUAUCGCACUAAGGCUCAACCUCAAAUUGUUGUCAAAAAACGACUUGUAGUUUAGCAUUUGUUCGGGUCUAAAAUUAAUAUGGCUCUGCAGUUGAAGUGGGUCCAAAUGAGAUGCAACUUAUUAUCAUGCCUGGCAAUGGGCUAGUUUCUCUCAGAUUUUUGUACUUAUUUCUCCUCAUUCUUUAUUUCUGGCUUAACUGUGCACUACUUCAUAUUUAGAAAUUAUCUGUGCUUUGUUUCCGCAUUAUGCUAUCUAGUUUGACAUUGUUUCAACUGUUAAUGUGACUUUGAAAAUUCAAGGCACAAGCAUUGGCCAUGGAACUACUGCAUUACCUUUGGAAGAAUAUCUAGUGGAAUCAUGAGUUACUUGCUUUUAUUAUGAUCUUCUAACUCCAUUAUGGUUUUAGAUGCCAUUUUGAAGCUUAGAGGAGUUCACUUGAGGAAGAUGGCACAGCAACUAAUGCAAACUGUAUGGGGAGGAGACGUUAGCAUGUGAUGUCCCUGGAAUCAAAAGAUUACUUCCAACUCAGUGGAGGGAAUUGGACUUUUUCAACAAUAUUUAUGAACUAGUUGUUCCUGUUGUCACAAUACAACUAAGAUACAACGGUUGGGUCUACAACGGUUACCAAAUGUUAACUUUCGGAAGUCAUGUUAUACGUAUUUGAUCUAUUCAUGACACAGAAAGUUGAUCCUUAAAAGUGUGAUUAUAACUAAACUAGAA